AGCCUGCAACUCGGCUGCAUGAAGCUGGAAUCGCUAGUAAUCGCGGAUCAGAAUGCCGCGGUGAAUACGUUCCCGGGUCUUGUACACACCGCCCGUCACACCAUGGGAGUAGGUAAUGCCCGAAGUCGGUGACCUAACCGGAAGGAAGGAGCCGCCGAAGGCAGGACUUAUAACUGGGGUGAAGUCGUAACAAGGUAUC
rnacentral:rRNA from 1 species